AACUUUUGGCAAUGUAUCACUUGGCUCUGGCAUCGAUUAAGAACGCAGCGAAAUGCGAUAAGUAAUGUGAAUUGCAGAAUCCAGUGAAUCAUCGAAUCUUUGAACGCACAUUGCGCCCGCCAGUACUCUGGCGGGCAUGCCUGUCCGAGCGUCAUUUCAACCCUCGAGCACCGCUCGGCGUUGGGGACCUACAGCGCACAGCGUAGCCCCCUAAAACCACCGGCGACGCCGCCGCGGCUCUUUUGCGUAGUACUAUUUCUCGCACUGGACCGCUGCCGUGCCUGCCGCUAAAACCGCUGCUACGGCACACAUACACAAGGUUGACCUCGGAUCAGGUAGGAAUACCCGCUGAACUUAAGCAUAUCAAUAAGCGGAGGCU
rnacentral:misc_RNA from 1 species